rnacentral:rRNA from 1 species
GCAGUCGACGGACUGUUUUGAAGAUUUCUUCGGAAUGAAUUUGAUUUAGUUUAGUGGCGGACGGGUGAGUAACGCGUGAGUAACCUGCCUUCAAGAGGGGGAUAACAUUCUGAAAAGAAUGCUAAUACCGCAUGAUAUAUCGGAAUCACAUGAUUUUGAUAUCAAAGAUUUUAUCGCUUGAAGAUGGACUCGCGUCCGAUUAGUUAGUUGGUGAGGUAACGGCUCACCAAGACCGCGAUCGGUAGCCGGACUGAGAGGUUGAACGGCCACAUUGGGACUGAGACACGGCCCAGACUCCUACGGGAGGCAGCAGUGGGGGAUAUUGCGCAAUGGGGGCAACCCUGACGCAGCAACGCCGCGUGAAGGAUGAAGGUUUUCGGAUUGUAAACUUCUUUUAUUAAGGACGAAAAUUGACGGUACUUAAUGAAUAAGCUCCGGCUAACUACGUGCCAGCAGCCGCGGUAAUACGUAGGGAGCAAGCGUUGUCCGGAUUUACUGGGUGUAAAGGGUGCGUAGGCGGCCUUGCAAGUCAGAUGUGAAAUCUAUGGGCUCAACCCAUAAACUGCAUUUGAAACUGUAGAGCUUGAGUGAAGUAGAGGCAGGCGGAAUUCCCCGUGUAGCGGUGAAAUGCGUAGAGAUGGGGAGGAACACCAGUGGCGAA